CCUACGGGUGGCAGCAGUGGGGAAUAUUGCACAAUGGGGGAAACCCUGAUGCAGCGACGCCGCGUGAGUGAAGACGUAUCUCGGUAUGUAAAGCCCUAUCAGCAGGGAAGAAAAUGACGGUACCUGUUUAAGAAGCCCCGGCUAACUACGUGCCAGCAGCCGCGGUAAUACGUAGGGGGCAAGCGUUAUCCGGAUUUACUGGGUGUAAAGGGAGCGUAGACGGCAGCACAAGUCUGGAGUGAAAUGCCGUGGCUUAACCCCGGAACUGCUUUGGAAACUGUGCAGCUAGAGUGCAGGAGAGGUAAGUGGAAUUCGUAGUGUAGCGGUGAAAUGCGUAGAUAUUAGGAAGAACACCAGUGGCGAAGGCAGCUUACUGGACUGUAACUGACGUUGAGGCUCGAAAGCGUGGGGAGCGAACAGGAUUAGAUACCCGGGUAGUC
rnacentral:rRNA from 1 species